rnacentral:rRNA from 1 species
ACGAUGCGUAGCCGACCUGAGAGGGUGAUCGGCCACAUUGGAACUGAGACACGGUCCAAACUCCUACGGGAGGCAGCAGUGGGGAAUAUUGCACAAUGGGCGAAAGCCUGAUGCAGCAACGCCGCGUGAGCGAUGAAGGCCUUCGGGUCGUAAAGCUCUGUCCUCAAGGAAGAUAAUGACGGUACUUGAGGAGGAAGCCCCGGCUAACUACGUGCCAGCAGCCGCGGUAAUACGUAGGGGGCUAGCGUUAUCCGGAAUUACUGGGCGUAAAGGGUGCGUAGGUGGUUUCUUAAGUCAGAGGUGAAAGGCUACGGCUCAACCGUAGUAAGCCUUUGAAACUGAGAAACUUGAGUGCAGGAGAGGAGAGUAGAAUUCCUAGUGUAGCGGUGAAAUGCGUAGAUAUUAGGAGGAAUACCAGUUGCGAAGGCGGCUCUCUGGACUGUAACUGACACUGAGGCACGAAAGCGUGGGGAGCAAACAGGAUUAGAUACCCUGGUAGUCCACGCCGUAAACGAUGAGUACUAGGUGUCGGGGGUUACCCCCCUCGGUGCCGCAGCUAACGCAUUAAGUACUCCGCCUGGGAAGUACGCUCGCAAGAGUGAAACUCAAAGGAAUUGACGG